AGUUAUUUAGCUUAUUAAUAUUAAAGCUUAUAUUUUGAAAAUAUAGGAAAGAGAAAUUUAAUAACUU
rnacentral:tRNA from 1 species